GGGUAGUUUGACUGGGGCGGUCUCCUCCUAAAGAGUAACGGAGGAGCACGAAGGUUGGCUAAUCCUGGUCGGACAUCAGGAGGUUAGUGCAAUGGCAUAAGCCAGCUUGACUGCGAGCGUGACGGCGCGAGCAGGUGCGAAAGCAGGUCAUAGUGAUCCGGUGGUUCUGAAUGGAAGGGCCAUCGCUCAACGGAUAAAAGGUACUCCGGGGAUAACAGGCUGAUACCGCCCAAGAGUUCAUAUCGACGGCGGUGUUUGGCACCUCGAUGUCGGCUCAUCACAUCCUGGGGCUGAAGUAGGUCCCAAGGGUAUGGCUGUUCGCCAUUUAAAGUGGUACGCGAGCUGGGUUUAGAACGUCGUGAGACAGUUCGGUCCCUAUCUGCCGUGGGCGCUGGAGAACUGAGGGGGGCUGCUCCUAGUACGAGAGGACCGGAGUGGACGCAUCACUGGUGUUCGGGUUGUCAUGCCAAUGGCACUGCCCGGUAGCUAAAUGCGGAAGAG
rnacentral:rRNA from 1 species